rfam:Hordeum vulgare subsp. vulgare, WGS project CAJW01000000 data, contig: morex_contig_1561707
GAAAUACUCCUCCAUUCUAAAAUUAUUGUCUUAGAUUUAUCUAAAUAUAAAUAUAUCUAGUCAUGUUUUAAUAAUUAGAUACAUUAGUUUUUAAACAAAUCUAAGAGAAGAAUUUUGGAACGGAGGAAGUACUAA